AAUAGAUACCCGGGUAGUCCACGCCGUAAACGAUGAGUGCUAAGUGUUAGAGGGUUUCCGCCCUUUAGUGCUGCAGCAAACGCAUUAAGCACUCCGCCUGGGGAGUACGGCCGCAAGGCUGAAACUCAAAGGAAUUGACGGGGGCCCGCACAAGCGGUGGAGCAUGUGGUUUAAUUCGAAGCAACGCGAAGAACCUUACCAGGUCUUGACAUCUCCUGACAACCCUAGAGAUAGGGAGUUCCCCGUUCGGGGGACAGGAUGACAGGUGGUGCAUGGUUGUCGUCAGCUCGUGUCGUGAGAUGUUGGGUUAAGUCCCGCAACGAGCGCAACCCUUGAUCUUAGUUGCCAGCAUUCAGUUGGGCACUCUAAGGUGACUGCCGGUGACAAACCGGAGGAAGGUGGGGAUGACGUCAAAUCAUCAUGCCCCUUAUGACCUGGGCUACACACGUGCUACAAUGGAUGGUACAAAGGGCUGCGAGACCGCGAGGUUAAGCGAAUCCCAUAAAACCAUUCUCAGUUCGGAUUGCAGGCUG
rnacentral:rRNA from 1 species